rnacentral:tRNA from 1 species
CAGAAAAUAGUUUAAGUUAAAAAUAGUAGCAUUGGAAGUUACUGAUGGGAGAAGUUCCUUUUCUGA